GGACUUCCGGGGUGGCGCCAUUGGUAAUGGCGGAUUCCCUCUGAUCCGGAGGGACUGGCUCCACGGAAAACAGGUUUGUUCCGCUACAGCGAAGUGGGGACCCUUUAAAAAAUCACAGGCGGAGGAAGCCUGUGACCAUGGGACUCGGCGGGCACCCUUCGCGCCCCCCCAAUCCGUAAAGGAACCCAAUUACGGGCUCCGGAGCGAAGAGGGGCUAGUGGCGCGGUGCUGAGAGUCAACUGCUUCUUCCGUGGAGCGAAGCCGCACAGCCGUUGCCGGAGAGCGCUACCUUUUUCCUGGACAAUUUGGCUACAAAAACAACUACCCGUGAGCAGAUCAAAUUUGGACAAUUGGACUUUAAACAACGAUCUGUGAGUAGAAGGGAAAAUUGGAUUAAGAAAUUCUUCUUAAUUUGGCACUGAAGCGGGAAGGUCUAAACAGGAAGUCAGCCUUCCGUUUCUUGUAGAUAGAUUAAAGCAAAGACAUGGCAAACUAGAGUUCAGAAAAUCGUUUGUAAAGAAUCAACUUUCAUCAUCUAAAACUACUGAACCCCUUCGGAAGCAGGAGAAGAGGGGGGAUUUUUUCCAGAUUGUUUAAACUUCCAGAAGAGAGUGUAAAGAAAAGUAAUCUUCCACCGUCUUGAACCUGGGAGCGGGGUGUCAGGACAGACGUCUUUGGGAAGUUCAUUGACUAUGGACAAAUGUUUUUGACAGAUAGUUAAAAGAAGAGAAACAUAGUGAUUCCACUGUUCUCUUUCGCAUUUUAAAGGAACAAAUAUUGACAAAAUAUCUGAAAAAGGAAACUAUGUUGUUAGAUUUGCUGU